AGCAAAUAUUGCAUCUAUGUUUUGACUUGCCCAUGUAACUUACAAUACGUGGGCAAGAACACACGAAAAAUAAAUGUACGUAUUGGAGAACAUGUUCACAACAUCCGAAAAAGUGUUAAAGAACAUCCUCUAUCAGCGCACUUUGCACUAAAACAUAAUAGUGAUCCCACUACACUUAGAUUUUUGGGACUAGAAAAAGUUAGAGAUUGGUGAGGAGAAGAUUUAGAUAAGAAGUUAGCCCAACACGAAAUGAGAU